rnacentral:tRNA from 1 species
AGUUCUUUAGUAUAAAAAUUUUUGUAUGAUUGAUUUCCAAUCAAUAGGUUUAUAGGAAUAG